AUGCGUGUGACAGUCAGCAUGUCUGCUCUCCAUUUGAAGCUGGUGACCACCUUCUGUCUCUGCUACACGGCCCUGAGCGGCCCAGGGAGCAGCGGAGUGGAGUGGAAAGAUGUUGGAGGAAACGUAACCAUCGGCUGCCGGCCUCCUGGAGAAGGCCAGACGACCCUGAGUCUGAGGAAGAGUGAGGCCCAAAUCUUGUUCGUAGAUGACAAAUCAAAAAAAAAAACCAUUGCCUCAGAAUUCUCAGGCAGACUUCAGUGGACUGGAGAAUUCCCCGACAUCGACAUAAUCUUCAAAAACCUGACCCCGGACGACACAGGAGCGUACUGGUGCAAGUACAAUACUGAGCUGGUGGGAAAGGGGUCGGUGCUCCUGGUGGUGACAGAUACGAUGAGGUGUGAGGAGCCAAACGACAAUCUGACCCUGGUGUCGCUUUUGAUCUGUGGGGCCGUCCUGCUGUUGCUCAUCUUAGGCUUCCUCAUAUGGAUCAUCCGCAAGGUACCGUGUGCUUUGGCCUAUGUGUGUGUGUGUGUGUGUUUGUUUCUUCAGCGUUACACUAUUUACUGUAGUGCGACUCGCUCAUCAUCCAAACAUCUUUGAAUGGUCAUUCCAUUAAGUUGAAGCUUACGAUGUUAGCUUGAAAUGUGUAUCUCUCAUUUUCCAACGACUAAUCUUAACAAAGAGGUAAUUACCCAUAAAGAACUCUCUGCCGCAUGGUGACAACCCCAUCGUGGGGAUGGUGGUCACAAUGCUAUUUUAACGGCCGAAUACAGGCAAAGUGCCGGAAUAAAAUUUGAAAGUUGAAUUUCACUGACAAGUUGACAAAUACAUAACUCACUGCAUCAUGAGCCAUGAAAUUGCACUUUCUUGUUUCUUGUUCUUUGGAGUUCGUAUCCUUAUGGUUGAAAUGCACUUAUUAGCGUCAAUAACAUGUAAUGUUUCUUAAAGCCAGCGUAUAAAGCAGCAUACAGAACAAAUGAACAGGCCUAACGAUAGUAGACGAAUCAACUGGGCUCCACACAUUCACUACCUGAGGUACGGUGAUGGCAAACGUAGGUUCUGCACACUCCAACUCAGCAGUGCCCGCUGGUUGCACAUGCAACACCUCAACGCAACACUUUGAUGGGCGGUGUGACAACCCAUAUGACAAGCAACCACAAAGACAAUGCAUUUGGGUUGAAAACAAUCUAAACUUUAGCUUUCAUUUUGUGACAAUUGUUUUGCGAUGAACACGUUGAGUAAAAACUCAAGGGGGGGGGGGGGGUAGUUUUUUCUUGAAAUAAAACCACAAGUCCUCUUUGUCUGAGUCUUACAAAAUGUCCUGAUGCAAAGAUGAACACCGAAUAACAAGGUUAAUGAUAUAAUAAUGAUGUAAUAAUAUCCUACUCAUUGUGUAAUCCCAUCUGUUGUUGAAGAUGUGCACACCAAGGAAACCGCAGCGCGUCCCUGGCAAUGAUGUUUAUGAGGACAUGCGUGCAACAAUCAGACGCUGAAGAUGUCGGCGUGCAGGCGAGCGGCCUGAAACCAGACGAUGAGUCUGCAUCGCUCCAAGUGAUGCAUGCGAGGAUAUGUCCCUCAGCCAAGAUCUGCGACGUCUCCUCGUGUCUGGGUGAAAGACUGUUGUGGCAAUUCCAUGAAUUGCCAACAAAACACACAGCUCUGUUUGAAUGUACAGAGAAAAAACAAAAGUCUGAAUUUGUUUGUCUUUUAUUGGCACGAAAAUGAACUGGAUUGGACCCUUGCAUGUAUUUUUAAUGUAAAUAUAUCUUUUUCAAUUUUGUACAUUUCUUAUAACGUUACAUUACAGGUCAUUUAGCUGACGCUUUUAUUCAUUUUUAACGCAUGGCUAUUUACUUUUUUGCCCGGGGAGCAAUUAGGGGUUAGGUGUCUUGCUCAGGGACACUUGGACAUGAGACAUGGAGCAGCCGGGACUCGAACUGCCAACCUUGCGGUUCCCAGCGGUUUACUUGAGUGUCAUAUACAUGAUGUUACUAUUGUGAUCAUCAUGGCUGUAAUUAUCGUCGUCCGGAAUAAAGCAAUAAACCACUAGUUGCAAUGUCUUAAAUAAUACUAAACCUGGUGGUUCUGUGGCACCGCAACCACCAAAUGGUGUGUGAUCUUUAUCAGUGGUGUUAAUCACAAACAUUGUUUAAAUUGGUUUGUAGACAAACCUGUCAAGACCUGUUCAUUUUGAUGGUAAACUUAAAUGAAUCUACUUAUUAGAAGGAUUUUCUCAUUUUCACACAUAUUCCGCCCCCAACACCCCACAUCAAAUCAGUCACAGCCUUUCUUUCACUAUGAGAAUACACGAGAAUUCAGUGGCUUGUUUUUUUUUUGACAUUAAACGUGCUUUUGCACAAACCUUUUUGAUAAACAUCACAACAACUCAUAAAUCGAGCCGAGUGCGUGUUUCCACAAACAGAUGAAACCGCGUCAGUGGAGAGCGGCUGCAAACCGAGAGGCGCCGCAUGAGUAAACAAAACUGAAAAGGUCGCAGGGAAAAAAAAUAAAUGUCAUUUUGUGGCAGCGUGCAAGAAAUGUUUACUCGUGCAGCGCGUCCGUGUGGUCGCGAGCCGUGACUCCAGCAUCGGUGAUCAGCGAAUGUGAAACGUGUGUUUUCUCCUGGCUGUGGGGCAGGUGUCAAAGUGCGGUGUGUGUGUGUGUGUGUGUGUGUG
ensembl:lncRNA